rnacentral:rRNA from 1 species
AGUCGAGCGGUAGAGAGAAGCUUGCUUCUCUUGAGAGCGGCGGACGGGUGAGUAAUGCCUAGGAAUCUGCCUGGUAGUGGGGGAUAACGUCCGGAAACGGACGCUAAUACCGCAUACGUCCUACGGGAGAAAGCAGGGGACCUUCGGGCCUUGCGCUAUCAGAUGAGCCUAGGUCGGAUUAGCUAGUUGGUGGGGUAAUGGCUCACCAAGGCGACGAUCCGUAACUGGUCUGAGAGGAUGAUCAGUCACACUGGAACUGAGACACGGUCCAGACUCCUACGGGAGGCAGCAGUGGGGAAUAUUGGACAAUGGGCGAAAGCCUGAUCCAGCCAUGCCGCGUGUGUGAAGAAGGUCUUCGGAUUGUAAAGCACUUUAAGUUGGGAGGAAGGGCAGUAAAUUAAUACUUUGCUGUUUUGACGUUACCGACAGAAUAAGCACCGGCUAACUCUGUGCCAGCAGCCGCGGUAAUACAGAGGGUGCAAGCGUUAAUCGGAAUUACUGGGCGUAAAGCGCGCGUAGGUGGUUCGUUAAGUUGGAUGUGAAAUCCCCGGGCUCAACCUGGGAACUGCAUUCAAAACUGACGAGCUAGAGUAUGGUAGAGGGUGGUGGAAUUUCCUGUGUAGCGGUGAAAUGCGUAGAUAUAGGAAGGAACACCAGUGGCGAAGGCGACCACCUGG